CCUCUCGUGGCGCAGGGGUAACGCGCCCUAUCUAUAGAACAGGGAGUUGUGAGUUCGAUUCCCACCGAGAAGA
rfam:Aedes aegypti strain Liverpool supercont1.389 genomic scaffold, whole genome shotgun sequence.